rnacentral:lncRNA from 10 species
GGAAGCUAAACCAGUUAAACUACGCCAUUUUGCCUCUUAGUGGGCAUGCUUGAGUCCACUCACCCAACUCCUGAUAUCUUAUUCGUAAGUUGCUAAUCACCAAUUUCAGAUGUUUCUAUUUAUUGGGAGACAACCUUUCCCUGGCACUGCGACCAAUUAUUAUUUUAGAGAGACAGCUUAACAACCGCUUGACCAUCACCUGAUGGUCCCCUGACAUUCCUGGUGGGGGCAGGGGGCCUCUCCUGUUCCUGGGGCAGGCGCAGCACUCUCUUAGCUCUACCCUGUAGCCCCUGCUUCCACCAUAACAGUUCACAAAGAACUGGCAAACCCUUGAAAUUUCCAAUUUCCCUUCUUUUGCCAUUUUCUGUAGGCUGCUAUGAUUCAAGCCAGAGAAAGCUGCCGCCUCAGCCCCCACCUCCAUCGCCGCGGGGGUGAGGCCCCAGAUACCUGCCUGGCUUCUUCAGCUCUCCCCUUGGCUCCUAGCUUUGUGCUGAAUGGUCCUGCCUUCCCACAAUGCCCUUAUCUCACCAAAUCUUCACCCUGAAGCCAUGAAUUAGAGCUUCUAGCUGACUAAAUGCAGUAUCUCUCAGAAAUCUGUCAUGUGUCCUUUCUGCUUCUCGUGCCCAAUUAACUAAUUAGCAUCAUUUUACAAACUUCUCUGGGCUAGCCCUAGAGCUCAGCUCUAACACCACCCAGGUCUCCAGGUAAAGCCUGGCUAUACCUCCUAUCCUUGUUUUGUUGCUGAUAAAUAAGCUUUUUAUUGAUCUUGCAGAAAAAUUAUUUUUCUAAUUUUUUUCUCUUUUGCCUUUCUAUCUUGAGUUGUGCCAUGACAAAACACCACCAACCCCAUUUUCCAAACCUUACAUAGAGGUUCUCUUCCCCCUUCUCCCUGUGUGCCCAGCAUGGUGUGAAAACACAGCCUGAAAAUAUUCUCUCCAGCUUCUUCUGUCAGGUUCCCCACCCUUCUCCAUCAGCAUUCUUAACGCCACAGGGAUUCCUUCCAGCCCACUUUGGAGUACAGUUUCCCUCAGGCCACAACAUUUACUGUUAUUUUAUGAAUAAAACUUUAUUUUACUGGCGGUUGGUAAACUGAACGAACAAGUACUAUUUAUAAAAUAAAUACAGAACAUGAUACAACA